rnacentral:lncRNA from 1 species
CAGCAGGGAUAAAGAACUCAUCUGGAAACUAGAAAGACUUGAUUCAAGGCUUCCCUCUAACACAGACUAGCUGGGCCACCAUGGGCAAGUCACUUGACAUCAUGGUUCUUUAGGCAACUAAGACUUUACAAAUUGCAGAGAAGAUGCUGACCUGUAUUAAUAGGGAGUUUUCUCUUCUAGGAGUUCUUUCUCAAUGAAAUUACAGCUGUUCAGUUGAAAAUGUCUGGCAUCUGGAAAAGAGAAUUGUUACUGGAUACCUCCAUCUUGAUAACCUUAAAUAUUCACUUAUAAGAGUGGUGGCACAUCACACAACUGUGUAGCAGAACCAAAUCCAAUCUGGCCUCAGACAUCAACUCUGCAGGUCUGGAAGAAGCUGGGCAGCUACUAACUCUCUAGCAAUAGGAUGUGGGCCCUGUUACUCCAUAUCGCUCCUGCCGGGCAAUUUGUGCAACAGCAUGGAGCACUGGUUAAAUGAAAAAGCCUUUCGGACAUCCUUUGGAGCUGGAGUGGAGAUUCUUACUGCAUGGGAGCACUGUACUAGGUGCUGUAAAUUUAUAUUCAUGAAGCAAAACUCAAGGAAUUCGUAACAUUCAUAACUAUGGAUGAGGAAUACGUGACAAAGAGCCUAGUCAAAAGAUACAGAAGUGGAAAUGAACAUGAUGUAUGGAACAGUGAAUUGGUUUCUAUCAAUCGAUGCAUGUAAGACUGAAGGCCAAG